UACGGGGGGGGCAAGCGUUGUUCGGAAUUACUGGGCGUAAAGGGCUCGUAGGCGGCCAACUAAGUCAGACGUGAAAUCCCUCGGCUUAACCGGGGAACUGCGUCUGAUACUGGAUGGCUUGAGGUUGGGAGAGGGAUGCGGAAUUCCAGGUGUAGCGGUGAAAUGCGUAGAUAUCUGGAGGAACACCGGUGGCGAAGGCGGCAUCCUGGACCGACACUGACGCUGAGGAGCGAAAGCCAGGGGAGCAAACCUG
rnacentral:rRNA from 1 species